rnacentral:rRNA from 1 species
GUGGGGAAUAUUGGACAAUGGGCGCAAGCCUGAUCCAGCCAUGCCGCGUGGGUGAUGAAGGCCCUAGGGUUGUAAAGCCCUUUCAGCGGGGAAGAUAAUGACGGUACCCGCAGAAGAAGCCCCGGCUAACUUCGUGCCAGCAGCCGCGGUAAUACGAAGGGGGCUAGCGUUGCUCGGAAUUACUGGGCGUAAAGCGCACGUAGGCGGCUUUCUAAGUCGGGGGUGAAAUCCUGGAGCUCAACUCCAGAACUGCCUUCGAUACUGGAAAGCUCGAGUCCGGGAGAGGUGAGUGGAACUGCGAGUGUAGAGGUGAAAUUCGUAGAUAUUCGCAAGAACACCAGUGGCGAAGGCGGCUCACUGGCCCGGUACUGACGCUGAGGUGCGAAAGCGUGGGGAGCAAACAGG